GACGAGGGAUCCUAGCGUUGCUCGGAAUCAUUGGGCGUAAAGCGGGUGUAGGUGGCUUGGUAAGUCAGAUGUGAAAGCCCUGGGCUUAACCCAGGAAGUGCAUUUGAUACUGCUGAGCUUGAGUGCGAGAGAGGUUAAUAGAAUACCUGGUGUAGUGGUGAAAUACGUAGAUAUCAGGUGGAACACCGGAGGCGAAGGCGGUUAACUGGCUCGACACUGACACUGAGACGCGAAAGUGCGGGGAUCAAACAGG
rnacentral:rRNA from 1 species